rnacentral:rRNA from 1 species
GUAUAUGAGGUGAUUAAUUGGAGGGCAAAUCAAGUGCCAGCAGCCGCGGUAAUACUUGUUCCAAGAGUGUGUAUGAUGAUUGAUGCAGUUAAAAAGUCCGUAGUUUAUUUUUUUAAGAAGCAAUAUGAGGUGUACUGUAUAGUUGGGAGAAAGAUGAAAUGUGACGACCCUGACUGGACGAACAGAAGCGAAAGCUGUACACUUGUAUGUAUUUUUUGAACAAGGACGUAAGCUGGAGGAGCGAAGAUGAUUAGAUACCAUUGUAGUUCCAGCAGUAAACUAUGCCGACGAUGUGAUAUGAAAAUGUUAAUUUGUAUUACAUAAUAGAAAUUUGAGUUUUUUGGCUCCGGGGAUAGUAUGAUCGCAAGAUUGAAAAUUAAAGAAAUUGACGGAAGAAUACCACAAGGAGUGGAUUGUGCGGCUCAAUUUGACUCAACGCGAGGUAACUUACCAAUAUCUUAUUAUUUUGAGAGAACGGUUUUUGUUUGAGAAUGAUAAUAGUGGUGCAUGGCCGUUUUCAAUGGAUGCUGUGAAGUUUUGAUUAAUUUCAACAAGACGUGAGACCCUUAUUAUUUAUUAAAGACAGACACAAUCAGUGUAGGAAGGAAAGGAUUAAAACAGGUCCGUUAUGCCCUCUGACAUUUUGGGCUGCACGCGCAAUACAAUAGAUAUA